AUGAAAGAGAUAAUAGAAGACACAAAUAGAAAAACAUCCCACAGACGUUCUUCCCCGAGAGUCGCCGCGGUUUCCUGCUUCAACAGUGCUUGAACUGAACCCGGCGCUCGACCCCCAUCCCGCCGGCCGCUCACAGCCAGCCUUCCGACACCUCCUCACCGCGGCCUCCAGCGCCGCCUCUCCUCAGCUGCCGCCAUGAUGACCGCAUCCCCCUCGCAGGGGCGCCAGAACUACCACCAGGCCUCGGAGGUCGCCAUCAACCGCCAGAUCAACCUGGAGCUCUAUGCCUCCUGCGUCUACCUGUCCAUGUCUUACUACUUUGACUGCGAUGAUGUGGCUUUGAAGAAUUUUGCCAAAUACUUUCUUCACCAAUCUCAUGAGGGGAGGGAACAUGCUCAGAAACUGAUGAAGCUGCAGAAUCAAUGAGGUGUCCAAAUCUUCCUUCAGGAUAUCAAAAAACCAGACUGUGAUGACUGGGAGAGCUGGCCGAAUGCGACGGAGUGCAUGUUACACUUGGAAAAAAGUGUGAAUCAGUCACUACUGGAACUGUGCAAACUGUCCACUGACAAAAAUGACCCCCACUUGUGUGACUUCAUUGAGACACAUUACCUGAAUGAACAGGUGAAAUCUAUUAAAGAACUGGGUGACCACAGAACCAACCUGUGCAAGAUGGGAGCCCCUGAAUCUGGCAUGGCAGAGUAUCUCUUUGACAAGCACACCCUGGGAGACAGUGAUAAUGAGAGCUAAGCCUUAGGCUAACUUCCCCAUAGUCAUGGGGUAACUUCUGUGAUCACCAAGGCAGUGCACGCAUGUCAGGGUUUCCUUUACCUUUUCUAUAAGUUGUACCAAAACAUCCACUUAAGUUCUUUCAUUUGUACCAUUCCUUCAAAUAAAGAAAUUUGGUACCCA